rnacentral:rRNA from 1 species
GAUGAACGCUGGCGGCGUGCCUAAUACAUGCAAGUCGAGCGAAUGGAUUAAGAGCUUGCUCUUAUGAAGUUAGCGGCGGACGGGUGAGUAACACGUGGGUAACCUGCCCAUAAGACUGGGAUAACUCUGGGAAACCGGGGCUAAUACCGGAUAACAUUUUGAACCGCAUGGUUCGAAAUUGAAAGGCGGCUUCGGCUGUCACUUAUGGAUGGACCCGCGUCGCAUUAGCUAGUUGGUGAGGUAACGGCUCACCAAGGCAACGAUGCGUAGCCGACCUGAGAGGGUGACCGACCACACUGGGACUGAGACACGGCCCAGACUCCUACGGGAGGCAGCAGUAGGGAAUCUUCCGCAAUGGACGAAAGUCUGACGGAGCAACGCCGCGUGAGUGAUGAAGGCUUUCGGGUCGUAAAACUCUGUUGUUAGGGAAGAACAAGUGCUAGUUGAAUAAGCUGGCACCUUGACGGUACCUAACCAGAAAGCCACGGCUAACUACGUGCCAGCCGCCGCCGUAA